rnacentral:snoRNA from 1 species
AGCUCUAUACUUUCAGGGAUCAUUUCUAUAGUUCUUUACUAGAGAAGUUUCUCUGACUGUGUAGAGCACCCAGAACCACGAGGAUGUUAUGAAACGUUCUCCUCUGAGCAUGAAGUUGGCUUUGAGAUUUGUAUUAGCAACAUUUCUUUGUUAUUGAUGACCAUUUAUGUCACUCUUGAGAGUGGCAUGAGGGGGAGAACAUAUUCCGAGUGG